UAGGGAAUCUUCCACAAUGGGCGAAAGCCUGAUGGAGCAAUGCCGCGUGUGUGAUGAAGGGUUUCGGCUCGUAAAACACUGUUGUAAGAGAAGAAUGACAUUGAGAGUAACUGUUCAAUGUGUGACGGUAUCUUACCAGAAAGGAACGGCUAAAUACGUGCUAG
rnacentral:rRNA from 1 species